rnacentral:rRNA from 1 species
GAUGAACGCUGGAGGCGUGCCUAAUACAUGCAAGUAGAACGCUGAAGGAGGAGCUUGCUCUUCUGGAUGAGUUGCGAACGGGUGAGUAACGCGUAGGUAACCUGCCUGGUAGCGGGGGAUAACUAUUGGAAACGAUAGCUAAUACCGCAUGACAACAGUUAUUGCAUGAUAACUGUUUAAAAGGGGCAACUGCUCCACUACCAGAUGGACCUGCGUUGUAUUAGCUAGUUGGUGAGGUAACGGCUCACCAAGGCGACGAUACAGAGCCCACCUGGGAGGGUGAUCGGCCACACUGGGAAUGAAACACGGCCCAGACUCCUACGGGGAGCAGCAGUAGGGAAUCUUCGGCAAUGGACGGAAGUCUUACCGAACAACGCCGCGUGAGUGAAGAAGGUUUUCGGAUCGUAAAGCUCUGUUGUAAGAGAAGAACGAGUGUGAGAGUGGAAAGUUCACACUGUGACGGUAUCUUACCAGAAAGGGACGGCUAACUACGUG